UGAGGAAUUUUGCGCAAUGGGCGAAAGCCUGACGCAGCGACGCCGCGUGGAGGAAGACGGCCUUCGGGUUGUAAACUCCUGUCAGGGGUGAAGAAACUUCGCAAGAAGCUGACGGUAACCCCAGAGGAAGCCCCGGCUAACUACGUUCCAGCAGCCGCGGUAAUACGUAGGGGGCAAGCGUUGCUCGGAAUUACUGGGCGUAAAGGGUGUGUAGGUGGCUGAUUAAGUUAAGGAUGAAAUCCCGAGGCUCAACGUCGGAACUGUCCUUGAUACUGGUCAGCUGGAGGCUAGUAAAGGAGAGCGGAGUGCCCGGUGGAGCGGCGAAAUGCGUAGAUAUCGGGAGGAACACCAGAGGCGUAGGCGGUUCUCUAGGCUAGUCCUGACACUGAGACACGAAAGCUAGGGGAGCAAACGGGAGUAGAGACCCCUAGUAGUC
rnacentral:rRNA from 1 species